rnacentral:rRNA from 1 species
UACGUAGGGACCAAGCGUUGUUCGGAUUUACUGGGCGUAAAGGGCGCGUAGGCGGCAUGACAAGUCACUUGUGAAAUCUCCGGGCUUAACCCGGAACUGCCAAGUGAUACUGUCGCGCUAGAGUGCGGAAGGGGCAAUCGGAAUUCCUGGUGUAGCGGUGAAAUGCGUAGAUAUCAGGAGGAACACCGGUGGCGAAGGCGGCUACCUGGACAGAAACUGACGCUGAGGCACGAAAGCUAGGGGAGCAAACAGG